rnacentral:rRNA from 1 species
GAUGAACGCCGGCGGCGUGCCUAAUACAUGCAAGUCGAGCGAAUGGAUUAAGAGCUUGCUCUUAUGAAGUUAGCGGCGGACGGGUGAGUAACACGUGGGUAACCUGCCCAUAAGACUGGGAUAACUCCGGGAAACCGGGGCUAAUACCGGAUAACAUUUUGAACCGCAUGGUUCGAAAUUGAAAGGCGGCUUCGGCUGUCACUUAUGGAUGGACCCGCGUCGCAUUAGCUAGUUGGUGAGGUAACGGCUCACCAAGGCAACGAUGCGUAGCCGACCUGAGAGGGUGAUCGGCCACACUGGGACUGAGACACGGCCCAGACACCUACGGGAGGCAGCAGUAGGGAAUCUUCCGCAAUGGACGAAAGUCUGACGGAGCAAAGCCGCGUGAGUGACGAAGGCUUUCGGGUCGUAAAACGCUGUUGUUAGGGAAGAACAAGUGCUAGUUGAAUAAGCUGGCACCUUGACGGUACCUAACCAGAAAGCCACGGCUAACUACGUGCCAGCAGCCGCGGUAA